rnacentral:rRNA from 1 species
UACGGAGGGUGCAAGCGUUGUUCGGAAUCACUGGGCGUAAAGGGCGUGUAGGCGGCCUGCUAAGUCUGAUGUGAAAUCCCCCCGCUCAACGAGGGAACUGCGUCGGAAACUGGCAGGCUCGAGUACCGGAGAGGAAGGUGGAAUUCCCGGUGUAGCGGUGAAAUGCGUAGAUAUCGUAAGGAAGACCAGUGGCGAAGGCGGGUCUCUGGACAGUUCCUGACGCUGAGGCACGAAGGCCAGGGGAGCAAACGGG